ACGGCUCAGUAACRCGUAGUCAAUCUACCCUAUGGACGGGAAUAACCUCGGGAAACUGAGAAUAAUGCCCGAUAGAACAUUAUGCCUGGAAUGGUUUAUGUUUCAAAUGAUUUAUCGCCAUAGGAUGGGACUGCGGCCUAUCAGUUUGUUGGUGAGGUAAUGGCCCACCAAGACUAUUACAGGUACGGGCUCUGAGAGGAGUAGCCCGGAGAUGGGUACUGAGACACGGACCCAGGCCCUAUGGGGCGCAGCAGGCGAGAAAACUUUGCAAUGUGCGAAAGCACGACAAGGUUAAUCCGAGUGGUUUCUGCUAAAGAAACCUUUUGUCAGUCCUAGAAACACUAACGAAUAAGGGGUGGGCAAGUUCUGGUGUCAGCCGCCGCGGUAAAACCAGCACCUCAAGUGGUCAGGAUGAUUAUUGGGCCUAAAGCAUCCGUAGCCCGUUUUGUAAGUUUUCGGUUAAAUCCAUACGCUUAACGUAUGGGCUGCCGGGAAUACUGCAUAACUAGGAAGUGGGAGAGGUAGACGGUACUCGGUAGGAAGGGGUAAAAUCCUUUGAUCUAUUGAUGACCACCUGUGGCGAAGGCGGUCUACCAGAACACGUUCGACGGUGAGGGAUGAAAGCUGGGGGAGCAAACCGGAUUAGAUACCCGGGUAGUCCCAGCUGUAAACUAUGCAAACUCAGUGAUGCAUUGGCUUGUGGCCAAUGCAGUGCUGCAGGGAAGCCGUUAAGUUUGCCGCCUGGGAAGUACGUACGCAAGUAUGAAACUUAAAGGAAUUGGCGGGGGAGCAC
rnacentral:rRNA from 1 species